AUGCCAUUGUAUUCUGUUUGUAGGGGGUAUUUAAAGAGCAGCAACACUGGAAUGGCCAGAAGGAAGCAGUCAUGCUCCUUUGACCACUUACACAUAACACUGCACAGUGGGUUGAGAAGGUGGAAUUUGGUCCAUUGUCUGUUUGGUGCUGAUAAAGAUCACUUCUCUGUGUUUGAACUGUUUUUCAGGUGCAUAGUUACCUGGGCCCAGGUCACUGCCUGCAGACUGAGGCAGCAAGAAGCCCUCUGUUAUUUUAGAAGUGUCAGGGAGCACCAUCUUCUAGAGGGGAGUUUUGCAGAAUGGAAAGUGAAGUUCUUGGCAGCUAAACAGCGGUUGCUGAGAGAGGAGAAAAACCACAAGUGGCAUGGAUGUUCUCAAGGAAAAGCCUGUCAGCGCUGGCGAUUGGCCUCAAGGGGACAGCAAGCCCUACACUUAGGGUCUGUGGCCACUGUGAAACAGGCCUGCAACUACUGGACAAAAGCAGCUGCCUUUUCCCAGUGCUCACGGCAAUGCGGUACCCUGAUAGGUGCUAGGAAGAGCAAGAAGAUGGCUUUGUCUUUGUCCAUAAGUAAGAUACCUCAUUCCCUCUUCCUUUUGUGGGGCCAUAUGGGGUGUGUGAGUGGGGAGGGGUGCUUGCCAACCUAAUCACUGGGGUUUCUCUGUGAAGUAGUUGCUCACUGCAGUCAAAUUUUGACUAUGGACUGCUUCUGUUUUUAGUGUCCAAAGGACUGAGAACCUGUGGCGACUCUAAUCUCUUCUCUAGCUCCUGUGUUAGCUCCUGUGUGAUUCCUCUUUUCUUUCCUAGAAAGGAGAGGAUGCAGAGAGAAAGGUUCAGCUCCGGCUGCUUCCCUUGGGUUUUUUCCCAGUGCUGUUCACCGCUGGCUGGUGAUCUACAGAAGCCAAAGGAGGACUGAAAGGCUGCUGCUCCCUCAACAGCUAGAGAUACAUGAGUUGGUAGGACCCAUCCCUGUGCAUGCCAGGAUCCAGGAGAAUAAAGCAGAGGUGGAUUCUGAUGAGUGGAAUGAG
rnacentral:lncRNA from 1 species